rnacentral:rRNA from 1 species
UACGUAGGGUGCGAGCGUUGUCCGGAAUUAUUGGGCGUAAAGGGCUCGUAGGCGGCGUGUCGCGUCUGUCGUGAAAGCUCGGGGCUUAACUCCGAGUUGGCGGUGGAUACGGGCACGCUAGAGUCCGGCAGGGGAGACUGGAAUUCCUGGUGUAGCGGUGAAAUGCGCAGAUAUCAGGAGGAACACCGGUGGCGAAGGCGGGUCUCUGGGCCGGUACUGACGCUGAGGAGCGAAAGCGUGGGGAGCGAAC